rnacentral:rRNA from 1 species
AUGCAGAGGAGACGGGUCGGCAGCAGGCAGAACGAGCAGCUGGGCGGCAAGGGCAUGGGGCUGGAGGAACCAAGAUCGACACUUCUCCAUCUGAUCUUCCGCGAGGGAACGAGUGCACUUGUACCAUCUCAGCCAGGCGAGAAAAUUGCAACAUAUCUUGUUCAUCCAGUAGAUAUGUCAACAGGAACAGAUUUGAAGGAAGAACAAGCAUUCAACCAACUCAGCCGAUCUGCUGAAUCACGAGCACUGGAGCGGUCUUUUCAGUUGAUUCCCAUGCCGCUCCUUUCGUGCUUGCCUUGA